GAUGAAGAACGCAGUGAAAUGCGAUACGUAAUGUGAAUUGCAGAUUUCAGUGAAUCAUCGAAUCUUUGAACGCACAUUGCGCCCGCCAGUAUUCUGGCGGGCAUGCCUGUUCGAGCGUCAUUUCAACCAUCAAGCGCCUCGCUUGUGUUGGGGCCCUGCGGCUGCCGCAGGCCCCUAAAUCCAGUGGCGGGCUCGUCGUCGUACCGAGUGCAGUAAACAUCCUCGCUCAGGGAACCCGACGGGUGCCGGCCGUGAAACCCCCCCUCCUCAAGGUUGACCUCGGAUCAGGUAGGAAUACCCGCUGAACUUAAGCAUAUCAAUAAGCGGAGGA
rnacentral:misc_RNA from 1 species